ACCGUAAGGAGUCUCAAAGUGGCUUACAAACUCCUUCCCUUUCUCUCCCCACAACAGACAUCUUGUGAGGUAGGUGGGGUUGAGAGAGUUCUGAGAGAUCAGUGACUAGGUCACCCAACAAUCUCCAUGUGGAGGGAUGGGAAAUCAAACCCAGUUCUCUAGAUUAGAGAGUCCACCUGCUCUUAACCAC